rnacentral:rRNA from 1 species
ACUCCUACGGGAGGCAGCAGUAGGGAAUCUUCCACAAUGGGCGCAAGCCUGAUGGAGCAACACCGCGUGAGUGAAGAAGGGUUUCGGCUCGUAAAGCUCUGUUGUUAAAGAAGAACACGUAUGAGAGUAACUGUUCAUACGUUGACGGUAUUUAACCAGAAAGUCACGGCUAACUACGUGCCAGCAGCCGCGGUAAUACGUAAGUGGCAAGCGUUAUCCGGAUUUAUUGGGCGUAAAGAGAGUGCAGGCGGUUUUCUAAGUCUGAUGUGAAAGCCUUCGGCUUAACCGGAGAAGUGCAUCGGAAACUGGAUAACUUGAGUGCAGAAGAGGGUAGUGGAACUCCAUGUGUAGCGGUGGAGUGCGUAGAUAUAUGGAAGAACACCAGUGGCGAAGGCGGCUACCUGGUCUGCAACUGACGCUGAGACUCGAAAGCAUGGGUAGCGAACAGGAUUAGAUACCCUGGUAGGAUAGCG